rnacentral:rRNA from 1 species
CGGUAAUUCCAGCUCCAAUAGCGUAUAUUAAAGUUGUUGCAGUUAAAAGCUCGUAGUUGAAUUUCGGGAUUUGUCAGUUGGUCGGGCUUCACUGUCCGUAUUGACUUGAUGGAUUCUUACCUUCUGAAUAACCAGCAUGCUAUUAAUUUAGUGCGUUGGGGAAGCAGAUCUAUUACCUUGAAAAAUUAGAGUGCUUAAAGCGAGCUAGUGCUUGAAUAGAUUAGCAUGGAAUAAUAAAUAGGACGGCAUGGUUCUAUUUUGUUGGUUUCUAGGAUCACCGUAAUGAUUAAUAGGGAUAGUUGGGGGCAUUAGUAUUCAAUUGUCAGAGGUGAAAUUCUUGGAUUUAUUGAAGACUAACUACUGCGAAAGCAUUUGCCAAGGAUGUUUUCAUUAAUCAAGAACGAAAGUUAGGGGGAUCGAAGACGAUCAGAUACCGUCGUAGUCUUAACCAUAAACUAUGCCGACUAGGGAUCGGAUGAUGUUAAUUUUAUAAUGACUCAUUCGGCGCCUUACG